rnacentral:lncRNA from 1 species
GUAGCAUCUUCUUGUAGCUCCCAGCCCAGCCCACCCCAUAUGGAACAGAAGAACUGCCCAGAUAAGCUCUACUAGCAUUCCUAAUCAACAGAAGUUAAUUCUGGCUUAUGCAAGCAAAACAAAAUGAAUUGGAGCAAUAUGAGUUGAUCCACAGAAUGGACAGGAGCCUGGAGAGCAGAACAGGAAUCGGCUACCCUAGACCACUGGGCAUCAGGUAUUGCUCCAUCAUCUUGUCUGGAUUCUGGUAAUGCCUUUCAAAUAUUGUUCUGAUCCUGAGUAACUCUGGAUCUGCUUGAGAUUGAGUCUAAAGAGAGAUAAGCUGGGUUGCAUACCUAACCAUUGGCUACUUGAGGACAGGGGACCUGAUUUACAAUCCCACAAGGAGUAUGCAAAAUUAGAAAGUCGUGAUUCCCCCCCAAAAUAAAAUCAGAGUGCUAUUUAAGGGGGACAGAACACUAUACAGUAGAAAAUGCAUCCUCUACAUACUGUUAAAAGAAUAAUGCAAAACCAAAAAGCGUACACAUAGUAAACCACCAUUUAUGUUUUUUAAAAAUGGGAGAGAAUACAUAUUACAUGUAUACAUGUAGAACAUAUUCUUAAAAAAAAAAAAAAACACUAGAAACAACCUUAACAUUGUAUCUCCCAUUAGGCCCUAAGUUCCAUGAGGGCAAGAAGUGUGUCUGUCCCAUUCAUUUCUGUAUUUCCAAUGACUAACAGUAUGUCUUACACACAGGAGGCACAUAAUAAAUAGUGGCAGAGUGAAUAAAGGAUGUAAUUCUACAAAGGAGAAGAGGGA